AGGACGAACGCUGGCGGCGUGCCUAACACAUGCAAGUCGAGCGGGGACAUGCGACGGAUAGGAAGAUUCGGUUGGACUUGAAGAUGCAUGUCUAGCGGCGGACGGGUGAGUAACGCGUGAGCAACCUGUCCCUUACAGGGGGAUAACACAGCGAAAGUUGUACUAAUACCGCAUGAGACCACGGGAGGACAUCCUCCAGGGGUCAAAGGAGCAAUCCGGUAAGGGGUGGGCUCGCGUCCGAUUAGAUAGUUGGUGAGGUAACGGCCCACCAAGUCGACGAUCGGUAGCCGACCUGAGAGGGUGAUCGGCCACAUUGGGACUGAGACACGGCCCAAACUCCUACGGGAGGCAGCAGUGGGGAAUAUUGGGCAAUGGGGGGAAACCCUGACCCAGCAACGCCGCGUGAGGGAAGAAGGUUUUCGGAUCGUAAACCUCUGUCCUUGGUGAAGAGGAAGAGACGGUAGCCAAGGAGGAAGCCCCGGCUAACUACGUGCCAGCCGCCGC
rnacentral:rRNA from 1 species